AGACCCACCCUAACAGCGGCUACACCGAAAGGAAACUAUAAGUCAACAUCGAGGUCGCAAUCCUCCCUUUUAAUAAGAACUCUCAAAGAAGAUUACGCUGUUAUCCCUUCGGUAACUUGUUCUUUUAAUCACAAACCGUGGAUCAAAAUAAACAAUAGGAAGAUCCCAUUCCUAGGUCGCCCCAACCAAACUAAACACAAACAAAAAGUCUUACAUUUAAUAAAGCUCGAAAGGGUCUUCUUGUCCCCUUUCCUCAUCUAAGCUUCUUCACAUAGAGAGAAAAUUCCUCAACUUCUAAAAAUAAAGCAAAACCCUUGUUUAUUCAUUCAUUCUAGCCCUCAAUUACAAGGCAAAUGAUUAUGCUACCUUUGCACGGUCAAAUUACCGCG
rnacentral:rRNA from 1 species